UUAUUAAGGGCGAUGAAACCGCUCGAGUAUUCAGACUAGCUAAAGUCGCCGGCCCCCCUAUCCUAUCUUCUCCUCAGGCGCGACAUCACUGUGAUCGCAUUCAGAACAACUGUAAUGAUCCUGGUCUCAGCACAUCCUGGUCUCAACACGAACUUUACAACAGUCUGAUAUGAUGAUAAUAGUUAACCCUGCCGAUGCGCCGUGCUGUAAGCAGUCUGUUGAGGACCAUACCUUCCACGUUUGCCCUAAACGAAACUUCUGUGCGAAAUUAAACGAGUCAUUUCUAGCCCGAUUUGCAUUGGCACAUCACUUACCUACAUGCAUGGAAUAUAAUACAUGCAUGCAUGGAACAACGGACUAUGCUCUGCAUGAGGAUAGCAGAGUUCUUUUUUUCUGUGUAUAUUAAAAACGGCCUUAACGCCGCGUAUGGACAGGUCUGGA
rnacentral:lncRNA from 1 species